UAGGGAAUCUUCCGCAAUGGGCGAAAGCCUGACGGAGCAACGCCGCGUGAGUGAUGAAGGUCUUCGGAUCGAAAAACUCUGUUAUUAGGGAAGAACAAAUGUGUAAGUAACUAUGCACGUCUUGACGGUACCUAAUCAGAAAGCCACGGCUAACUACGUGCCAGCAGCCGCGGUAAUACGUAGGUGGCAAGCGUUAUCCGGAAUUAUUGGGCGUAAAGCGCGCGUAGGCGGUUUUUUAAGUCUGAUGUGAAAGCCCACGGCUCAACCGUGGAGGGUCAUUGGAAACUGGAAAGCUUGAGUGCAGAAGAGGAAAGUGGAAUUCCAUGUGUAGCGGUGAAAUGCGCAGAGAUAUGGAGGAACACCAGUGGCGAAGGCGACUUUCUGGUCUGUAACUGACGCUGAUGUGCGAAAGCGUGGGGAUCAAAAAGG
rnacentral:rRNA from 1 species